AGAUCGUUUGAUCAGGUUGAAGUCAGGGGAAACCCUGAUGGAAGACCGAAACAGUUCUGACGUGCAAAUCGAUUGUCAGAAUUGAGUAUAGGGGCGAAAGACCAAUCGAACCAUCUAGUAG
rnacentral:rRNA from 1 species